AAAGAAACUAACUAGGAUUCCCUUAGUAACGGCGAGUGAACCGGGAUGAGCUCAAAUUUAAAAUCUGGCGUCUUUCAGGCGUCCGAGUUGUAAUCUAUAGAGGCGUUUUCCGCGCCGGACCGCGUCCAAGUCCCUUGGAAUAGGGUAUCAAAGAGGGUGACAAUCCCGUACUUGACGCGACGACCGGUGCUCUGUGAUACGUUCUCAACGAGUCGAGUUGUUUGGGAAUGCAGCUCUAAAUGGGUGGUAAAUUCCAUCUAAGGCUAAAUAUUGGCGAGAGACCGAUAGCGAACAAGUACCGUGAGGGAAAGAUGAAAAGCACUUUGGAAAGAGAGUUAAACAGCACGUGAAAUUGUUAAAAGGGAAACGAUUGAAGUCAGUCGUGUGGGAGGUAUUCAGCCGUCUCUGGCGGUGUAUUUGCCUCUCACGGGUCAACAUCAGUUUGAUCCGGUAGAAAAAGGCGGGAGGAAGGUGGCACCCUCGGGUGUGUUAUAGCCUCCUGUCACAUGUGCCGGACCAGAC
rnacentral:rRNA from 1 species